rnacentral:rRNA from 1 species
GAGUUUGAUCAUGGCUCAGAACGAACGCUGGCGGCAGGCCUAAUACAUGCAAGUCGAGCGCGCCCUUCGGGGUGAGCGGCGGACGGGUGAGUAACGCGUGGGAAUAUGCCCUUCUCUAAGGAAUAGCCUCUGGAAACGGAGAGUAAUACCUUAUACGCCCUUUGGGGGAAAGAUUUAUCGGAGAAGGAUUAGCCCGCGUUAGAUUAGGUAGUUGGUGGGGUAAUGGCCUACCAAGCCUACGAUCUAUAGCUGGUUUGAGAGGAUGAUCAGCCACACUGGGACUGAGACACGGCCCAGACUCCUACGGGAGGCAGCAGUAGGGAAUCUUAGACAAUGGGGGCAACCCUGAUCUAGCCAUGCCGCGUGUGUGAUGAAGGCCCUAGGGUCGUAAAGCACUUUCGCCAGAGAUGAUAAUGACAGUAUCUGUUU